rnacentral:rRNA from 1 species
AUUGAACGCUGGCGGCAGGCCUAACACAUGCAAGUCGAACGGUAACAGGAAACAGCUUGCUGUUUCGCUAACGAGUGGCGGACGGGUGAGUAAUGUCUGGGAAACUGCCUGAUGGAGGGGGAUAACUACUGGAAACGGUAGCUAAUACCGCAUAACGUCGCAAGACCAAAGAGGGGGACCCUCGGGCCUCUUGCCAUCGGAUGUGCCCAGAUGGGAUUAGCUUGUUGGUGGGGUAACGGCUCACCAAGGCGACGAUCCCUAGCUGGUCUGAGAGGAUGACCAGCCACACUGGAACUGAGACACGGUCCAGACUCCUACGGGAGGCAGCAGUGGGGAAUAUUGCACAAUGGGCGCAAGCCUGAUGCAGCCAUGCCGCGUGUAUGAAGAAGGCCUUCGGGUUGUAAAGUACUUUCAGCGGGGAGGAAGGGAGUAAAGUUAAUACCUUUGCUCAUUGACGUUACCCGCAGAAGAAGCACCGGCUAACUCCGUG